rnacentral:rRNA from 1 species
UCAAGUGACUAAGUGCAUGCGGCGGAUGCCUUGGCGAUCACAGGCGAAGAAAGACGCGGCAGCCUGCGAAAAGCUGCGGGGAGCUGGCAAACGAGCUUUGAUCCGCAGAUAUCUGAAUGGGGGAACCCACACCGUAAGGUGUAUCCGUAGCUGAAUACAUAGGUUACGGAGGCGAACGAGGAGAACUGAAACAUCUAAGUAUCCUCAGGAAAAGAAAUCAACCGAGAUUCCGGCAGUAGCGGCGAGCGAACCCGGAGGAGCCUAGCUUUUGAUAGUACGAACUUUAGCCGAAAGGUCCUGGAAAGGCCUGCUAUAGUGGGUGAUAGCCCCGUAGGCGAAAGAGUUGGUACGGUACUAAGGAAGCGAGAAGUAGAGCGGGACACGUGGAAUCCUGUUCGAAGACGGGGGGACCAUCCUCCAAGGCUAAAUACUCGUGAUCGACCGAUAGUGAACCAGUACCGUGAGGGAAAGGCGAAAAGAACCCCGGGAGGGGAGUGAAAUAGAACCUGAAACCGCAUGCAUACAAACAGUAGGAGCCUCGUCAGAGGUGACUGCGUACCUUUUGCAUAAUGGGUCAGCGACUUACAUUCUGUGGCGAGCUUAACCGAAUAGGGGAGGCGCAGCGAAAGCGAGUUCGAAAUGAGCGUUCAGUCGCAGGGUGUAGACCCGAAACCAGAUGAGCUAUCCAUGGCCAGGUUGAAGGUGUGGUAACACACACUGGAGGACCGAACCGACUAGUGUUGCAAAAUUAGCGGAUGAGCUGUGGAUAGGGGUGAAAGGCCAAACAAAUCUGGAGAUAGCUGGUUCUCCCCGAAAACUAUUGAGGUAGUGCCUCGUGUGUCGCUCCAGGGGGUAGAGCACUGUUUUGGCUAGGGGGACAUGGAGUCUUACCAAACCAAGGCAAACUCCGAAUACCUGGAAGCGUAAGCACGGGAGACAGAGCACCGGGUGCUAACGUCCGGACUCAAAAGGGAAACAACCCAGACCGCCGGCUAAGGUCCCAAAUAACAGCUAAGUGGAAAACGAAGUGGAAAGGCCGUGACAACCAGGAAGUUGGCUUAGAAGCAGCCAUCCUUCAAAGAAAGCGUAAUAGCUCACUGGUCGAGUCCUUCUGCGCGGAAGAUGUAACGGGGCUAAGCUGUUAACCGAAGCCGCGGAUGCGCUGGUUAUCCAGUGCGUGGUAGGGGAGCGUUCUGUAAGUCUGCGAAGGCGGUUCGAGAGGACUGCUGGAGAUAUCAGAAGUGCGAAUGCUGACAUGAGUAACGUUAAAGCAGGUGAAAAGCCUGCUCGCCGUAAGCCCAAGGAUUCCUGCUCUACGUUCAUCGGAGCAGGGUGAGUCGGCUCCUAAGGUCAGGCCGAAAGGCGUAGCCGAUGGGAAUCAGGUUAAUAUUCCUGAACCUGCGUCAGAUGCGAUGGGGGGACGGAGCAUGGAAGAUCAUCCGGGUGUUGGAAGUCCCGGUUGUUUAGCGUAGGAGGUCUGCAGGCAAAUCCGCAGACGCAUCUCCAAGGCAAAGACACGUGCCGCUACGGCGGCGAAGUGAUCGGAAGUGCUUCCAAGAAAAGCCUCUAAGCCCCAGUCUGACGCGGACCGUACCGCAAACCGACACUGGUGGGCGAGCUGAAUAUGCUCAGGCGCUUGAGAGAACUCGGGAGAAGGAACUCGGCAAAUUGACACCGUAACUUCGGAAGAAGGUGUGCCGUAGUACCGUGAGAGGAGAGACACCUUGAGCGGGAAACGGUCUCAGAGAAUAGGUGGCUGCGACUGUUUAUUAAAAACACAGCACUCUGCAAAGUCGAAAGACGACGUAUAGGGUGUGAUGCCUGCCCGGUGCUGGAAGAUUAAUUGAUGGGGUGAGAGCCCUUGAUCGAAGUCCCAGUAAACGGCGGCCGUAACUAUAACGGUCCUAAGGUAGCGAAAUUCCUUGUCGGGUAAGUUCCGACCUGCACGAAUGGCAUAACGAUGGCCACACUGUCUCCUCC